rnacentral:rRNA from 1 species
UGAGGAAUAUUGGGCAAUGGAGGCAACUCUGACCCAGCCAUGCCGCGUGCAGGAAGACGGCCCUAUGGGUUGUAAACUGCUUUUAUACAGGAAGAAACUUAUCCACGUGUGGAUAACUGACGGUACUGUAAGA